UACAGAGGGGGCAAGCGUUGUUCGGAAUUACUGGGCGUAAAGGGCGCGUAGGCGGCCUUCUAAGUCGAACGUGAAAUCCCCGGGCUCAACCCGGGAACUGCGUCCGAUACUGGAAGGCUUGAAUCCGGGAGAGGGAUGCGGAAUUCCAGGUGUAGCGGUGAAAUGCGUAGAUAUCUGGAGGAACACCGGUGGCGAAGGCGGCAUCCUGGACCGGCAUUGACGCUGAGGCGCGAAAGCUAGGGGAGCAAACGGGAUUA
rnacentral:rRNA from 1 species